rnacentral:tRNA from 2 species
GGGCAGCUAGUUCAUCGGUUAGAACGCUUCUCUGAUAAAGAAGAGGUGCGUGGUUCGAUUCCACGGCUGCCCACCA